GACGUAGGACGCGAGCGUUGUCCGGAUUUAUUGGGCGUAAAGAGCUCGUAGGCGGCUUGUCGCGUCGUUUCGUGAAAUCCCGAGGCUCAACCUCGGGUCUGCAGUCGAUACGAGCAAACUAGAGUGUUGCAGGGGAGACUGGAAUUCCUGGUGUAGCGGUGAAAUGCGCAGAUAUCAGGAGGAACACCGGUGGCGAAGGCGGGUCUCUGGGCAACAACUGACGCUGAGGAGCGAAAGCGUGGGGAGCGAACAGG
rnacentral:rRNA from 1 species